AAUAUUAAAGCAAGUAGGUACUGACAUGAAACAAAAUUUACAUAGCGCAGCGCAGUUGCAGCUUUGCGAUCAGCCGGCAAAUUGGGUACAGACGCGUAACCGACCGUAAUCAAUGAUACCACGAAACCAUGGAAACGUGCAUUGUUGGGUGACUGCUGAUGCGGCGGACAUUCACCAGCAGCGGCUGCAGUUGCAUAAAUCAAGGACACACUCAAUGGCAGAGCGCGCUUAAUAUCCUAUCCCGGGAGUGCGUAACCAGAAUGCAAUGGAUAAAAAUAAUACAUAAUACAGUACCCACCACGGAAGACCCUUGCGAAAGCGCCAUCCGCAGCCGAUACAGUUGAACACGGUAGCGGUUCAUGAUCGUACUCACAUAGCAGCAGCUUCCUGCACAAGGCACCGCCCGCGCAAAUAUGCCGGCAAGUCCAAAUGCUGCUCGUGCUAAUCCUUUUCAAGGAUGAUUCUUAAUCAAAGGUGAACAACCCCAGUCGCCGAGAGCUUUUCCCCAGCUAACACGAGAUGACGUUUCCUGGAUGGACGGCAGGUUUUUAAUCAUUUCUAUACUACCAAUCCACCGACAGGAGCCGGUCUCCGACGGUCGCGGCAAAACAAUAAGCGGUCUCCUCGUCUUCCUCGACCAGAUUGUCCAGGCGGCGCCCACCAAAACCCUGGUUCAUUAUUCCGUUUUCUUCAUCAACUGUCGGAUUUGUCUGUGCGAAAACAAUAAUGCUACGGUAAGGACACAAGGAAUAACAUACGAAUUAUCACAAUUUACAGGAUUAAGCGCUACAGCUAUCUGAUAAUACGUGUUGUACAAAUGCCCUUCUGUCGAAAUGGUCGGACACGAUCGUAAUGUAUUAAGAGUCCAAACCACAUCAAUCUAAUAUUUUGUAACAUUUGUCCCUUCUGGACGCUCAGUCAUUUCGGUCUCGAACACAUUCCGAUUGCGUCCUUGAACAAAUUCUGUUUACUCCAUGCAUAACUUCGUCCAAAAUUUGAAAUCGCUAUCAUCAUUUUGCUGUACGCUGAUUCUUGUGCAGUAAGCUUGACCUAUGUAAUAAUAUAAAUACACAUUAUUAAUACACACCUUCCGAUCGCGAUCGGCCAGGGCAUUCUUAAACUUUUGCGCGUUCACAGCGUAGAGGACGGCAUCGUGCACAGUGACGAACAGUUGGUAAUCUUUGAUAUGCUCCAUUGCGCCGCAAAGGGCCAGUAUGUCCCGUACAGGUUCUGUUGGAAAAAAUCUUGCCAUAUAUUCUCAUUAAAACUGACCUUUCAACUUCCCAGCAAAAGGUUUUUAUACCGUUCCAAGUUUAUAAUUUUUUUUAUAAUUUGCUUACUGUUUGUACAGGCUAGUAGUAGCUCCACUCCCACACUCUCACAUUCGGCUUUGCAGACUUUUAAGAAACCGACCCCUGUCACAUCGAUAAAGCAGAUCUCCGAACAAUCAAUUAUCAGGUGUCUCACUGGAAGAUUCUCCUCGUCGUCUUCGCGAUCAUUCGACUGAGUCCGGACCACCAGUCCUUUGGAACUUGUAAACAAUUCUUCCAUACUGAUGGUUGAUCCGCCAAAUCUGCUACCGAAUUCCAGUGCUUCUUCCCUAGCAUUUCUAUCUUCGCCAAGUUGUAAAUGCAAUGAAUAGGCAUAAUUCGUAGCGUCGUCCGGAAUUCCAGGAACUCCAUCCGGCGCUUUUGGAUGGUCUUCCUGGUGCUUCUGAAUAAGGUUCUGAAUGUCGGCCAAAGCAUACAAACGCUGCUUAAUGUACGCCACAUUGGCGAAAUAUAUUGGUGCAUCGACUCGAACGAUUUUUACACCUGGAACUUCUGUAGCCUGCAAGCAACAAUAAACUGUCCAAGACGUAAUUUUGCACUAUAAAAGCGAGCGCUGCAGAUUAAUGGAGUUGCACGAGAAAGCACACUGUACAAUUGAUUUGGAUGCUUACGGUUCUGUAAACGUCAGUACGGCGGUAUAUAUCGGUACCAGGAAGACGUCCAAGAGGACCGACUUUUGGUUUCUGUAGUCGUAACAUAAUAGUCAUAAUCGCCCAGCCCACACCGAUCCCCAGGCCCACAUCCACAUCCAAAAUCAGAACACCCAAAAACACCACAAGGAAGAUGGACUGCAAAAAAAAGCGUUUUACUACAGCAGCAACAUAAUCACAACAAUCAAGUAAUUUCCAAACUAACUGAUACUUUACUAAUUAACUACGCAAAUUUCCAGGUUUGUAAGAUAUAACACGAGCUUUUAAGUUUUAACUAUGGCUCAUGGCAGAGCUUUUUAUUACGUGUAGCACUCGGUCGUCGGAAUUCAUUACCGGUAUAAUUUUACUGGUCAAGUUGUAACCGGUCAGUCUGUGCUAUUCCCAGUACGAAAGAAACGGGCAAUUUUUCAGCUAACGAUUGUAAGUACCGUAGUAUAGAAAUUUAGGAUGUCCUCACCCAGUCAACAAGUGAAAGCUUCCAUAAUCUGCGCAACUGCACAACUUGAGCCAACAAAUGAAAUACAGACACCAUGACAAUCGCUCCAAGUGCCGGUUUAGGCAACGGCUGCAAAUAUCUCCCCAAAAAGAGCAUCACGAUCAAAACAAUGAUGCACUGGACAACACUGACGAUUUGAGUCUUCCCGCCGACAUCAUUUUGCACGGCACUGCGCGCAACGGAAGCGCCUUGCGGAAAGCACCGGAACCAGCAGCUAAAUAUAUUACCGAUGCCCUGCGCCUUAAAUUCUUGGUUGGGAUCAAUGGUGUACCCUGUAAACAUUUUGUACAAACCGCUAGUAUUGUACACAUGUACAUAUUGUACUCGCAUGUCUAACGAACAGUAACUAGGAAUAUAUGUCGGCUGUCGCUACUAAAAACUUGCAAACCAAAACCCUAUUGUAUCAUUCCACUGGAGCCAAUGCCGUAAUAAAAAGGUGU